ensembl:lncRNA
CACGCCAACCCAUGUCCACCACAUCUGACUUCUUCACCUGGGGGUUGCUGAGGAGUAAUUGUGUCUGUAAUAAAUCCCUUCUGUGGAGAGAAAACAUAAUUAUGUGUGUGGGCCUGGCUCCCAGGUGUUUUAUUGUUGCAUGUUGCAUUUAUAUUUUUGUUCAUUGUACAUUUAUGACAUUGAAGUGGCUUUGGUGCAUCUUUCACCAUCUUUGUGUCUUCAGACGGGGUUUCAUGAAUCGCACUCCGACAAAAAUAACAACCCAUCUCAAGCUAAUCAAGCCCUGUGGAGAAGAAGACCUCUGAAUAGACAAAGGUCUACCCAAACCCCCACCAAAAUAUGCCCUGACGGACCAGAAAACCUGCCACUGCUACCAAGAAGGAAAACGCAAAAACGCAGCACAAGCCACCAUGUAACGAUGGGGAGGACGACCCUUCACAAUGUAUUCCAACCCCUUUUUCUUGAUCAAAGCAGGUGUGAGUCUUGGCGAAUCAAAUACUACAGGCAGAAAUACUACAGGCAGAAAUACUACAGGCAGAAAUACUACAGGCAGAAAUACUACAGGCAGAAAUACUACAGGCAGAAAUACUACAGCCAGAAAUACUACAGGCAGAAAUACUACAGGCAGAAAUACUACAGGCUACAACCUGCCUGAAAUGUGCAACAGACUGCAAGGGUGCAGCGGAAGGUUCACUGAGCAGCAGGAAUGAAGGGAUGAAAGAGGUCAUAAAUAGUUGGAAGCAUCAAAGCCUUUUUUUGGCUCAUUGUAUAUCUAGGUCUUUACUGAAGCCUGUGACAGAAAUGCAUGUUUUUGUCUUG